rnacentral:rRNA from 1 species
UAGAGAUAGAGUCUUCCCCUUCGGGGGACAAAGUGACAGGUGGUGCAUGGUUGUCGUCAGCUCGUGUCGUGAGAUGUUGGGUUAAGUCCCGCAACGAGCGCAACCCUUAAGCUUAGUUGCCAGCAUUAAGUUGGGCACUCUAAGUUGACUGCCGGUGACAAACCGGAGGAAGGUGGGGAUGACGUCAAAUCAUCAUGCCCCUUAUGAUUUGGGCUACACACGUGCUACAAUGGACAAUACAAAGGGCAGCUAAACCGCGAGGUCAUGCAAAUCCCAUAAAGUUGUUCUCAGUUCGGAUUGUAGUCUGCAACUCGACUACAUGAAGCUGGAAUCGCUAGUAAUCGUAGAUCAGCAUGCUACGGUGAAUACGUUCCCGGGUCUUGUACACACCGCCCGUCACACCACGAGAGUCUGUAACACCCGAAGCCGGUGGAGUAACCAUUUAUGGAGCUAGCCGUCGAAGGUGGGACAAAUGAUUGGGGUGAAGUCGUAACAAGGUAGCCGUAUCGGAAG